UAUACCCUAUAAUGGCUAAUGGAGACUCUUCAUCGAUCAUUCAGUUGUCUGCUGCUGGUGGGAUGUGCGGCGGGUUAGGCUUUGGUUUGGGCUCCGGCUUGGGUUCAGGCUUUGGUUUUGGUUCAGGCUUAGGCUCCGGUUUGGGUUCUGGUUUCGGCUUGGGCUCGGGCUUUGGUUCAGGUUUAGGCUUAGGCUCAGGCUUAGGUAGUGGUUCGGGUUUUGGUUCCGGCUUCGGCUCAGGCUUAGGCUCGGGUUUUGGUUUGGGCUCGGGCUUAGGCUCUGGUUUGGGUAGUGGUUCUGGUUUUGGUUCUGGCUUGGGCUCGGGCUUAGGCUCUGGUUUGGGCAGUGGCUCUGGCUUUGGCUCUGGUUUUGGCAAUGGUUUGGGCUUUGGUUCCGGCUUGGGCUCAGGCUUAGGCUCUGGUUUUGGUAGUGGUUCAGGUUUUGGUUCCGGCUUGGGUUCAGGCUUAGGCUCGGGCUUUGGUUCCGGCUUGGGCUCAUGCUUAGGUUGCAGUGGUUCGGGUAUGGGUUCUGUGCUUGGGUUCAGGCUUAGUGCUCGGUGCUUUGGGUAUCGUGCUUGGGCUCAGGCUUAGGCUCCGGUAUCGGCAUCGGUUCGGGCUUUGGUUCUGGCUAGGGCUCAGGCUUAGGCUCAGGUUUUGGUUUUGGCAUGGGCUCAGGUUUUGGUUCAGGCUUAGGCUCCGGCUUAGGCUCAGGCUUAGGUUUUGGUUCUGGCUUGGGCUCCGGUUUUGGCAGUGGUUCAGGCUUGGGCUCAGGCUCGGGUUUUGGUUCAGGCUUAGGCUCAGGUUUUGGCUUUGGCUCAGGCUUUUUUGGCUUUGGCUUUGGUUCAGGCAUAGGCUUGGGCAUCGGUUCGGGUUUGGGCUUUGGCUCUGGCUUCGUUAUGGGUUUAGGUUGAGGCUCAGGUUUAGGUUCAG
rnacentral:lncRNA from 1 species